GGAAAGGACACAGAUCCUGUCUGUUCAAUGUAUAAAGAAAAGCCCCCGAUCAGAGCAGGAGAGAGAGGGGGAGUGUGAGAGAGCGGCCGAGGGGGACACACAGAGCGCUACAGAGAGACAGCCGAGAGGAGCCUCUAUGUAUAUAAAGAUGGCUACGGUAGCGAACGGGCAGCCAGACAAUAGCAGCCUCAGCAGCAACCCGACCGGGCACAUGAACGGAUUAACCCACAGCCCCGGCGGCGCCGCCACCAUCCCCAUGAAGGACCACGAUGCCAUCAAGCUCUUCAUCGGGCAGAUCCCCCGCAACCUGGACGAGAAGGACCUGAAGCCUCUGUUCGAGGAGUUCGGCAAGAUCUACGAGCUGACGGUGCUGAAGGACAGGUUCACCGGCAUGCACAAAGGCUGCGCCUUCCUUACAUACUGUGAAAGAGAAUCUGCACUAAAGGCUCAGAGCGCUCUGCACGAGCAGAAGACACUGCCAGGGAUGAACAGACCAAUCCAGGUGAAGCCGGCGGACAGCGAGAGCCGAGGAGAAGACAGAAAACUCUUUGUGGGCAUGCUCAAUAAGCAGCAGUCAGAGGACGACGUGCGCCGGCUAUUCGAAGCUUUUGGGAACAUCGAAGAGUGCACAAUCCUGCGAGGGCCCGACGGGAACAGCAAAGGGUGUGCGUUUGUGAAAUAUUCAUCGCACGCGGAAGCACAGGCAGCUAUCAACGCUUUGCACGGGAGCCAGACAAUGCCGGGGGCCUCCUCGAGCCUAGUGGUGAAGUUUGCAGACACAGACAAGGAGCGCACAAUGAGACGGAUGCAGCAAAUGGCGGGCCAGAUGGGCAUGUUCAAUCCCAUGGCUAUUCAGUUUGGAGCUUAUGGUGCCUACGCUCAAGCACUGAUGCAGCAGCAAGCCGCCAUCAUGGCAUCCGUAGCACAAGGAGGUUACUUGAAUCCCAUGGCGGCCUUUGCAGCGGCCCAGAUGCAGCAGAUGGCGGCCCUCAACAUGAACGGCCUGGCAGCGGCCCCCAUGACGCCAACAUCAGGUGGAAGCACACCCCCGGGUAUCACUGCACCAGCUGUGCCUAGCAUUCCAUCGCCAAUCGGGGUGAAUGGCUUUACUGGCAUCCCAGCCCAGGCUAACGGUCAGCCUGCCGCAGAAGCUGUAUUUGCUAAUGGAAUCCACCCUUACCCAGCACAGAGUCCCACCGCAGCAGACCCCUUGCAGCAAGCCUACGCCGGAGUACAGCAGUAUGCAGGUCCUGCCUACCCUGCUGCUUAUGGUCAGAUCAGUCAAGCCUUUCCACAGCCGCCUCCCAUGAUUCCACAGCAGCAGAGAGAAGGACCCGAGGGCUGCAACCUGUUUAUCUACCAUCUGCCCCAGGAAUUUGGGGAUGCUGAGCUGAUGCAGAUGUUCCUGCCUUUCGGUAAUGUCAUCUCCUCGAAAGUGUUUGUGGAUCGGGCGACAAACCAAAGUAAAUGCUUUGGUUUUGUGAGUUUUGACAAUCCUGCCAGUGCUCAAGCCGCCAUCCAGGCCAUGAACGGCUUCCAGAUUGGCAUGAAGAGGCUCAAGGUGCAACUGAAACGACCGAAGGACGCCAACCGCCCUUACUGAGACUCGGCGAGAGCCUCCGAAACAAGGACUAGCACAGACCCAACACGGUCUCGCGCCGAAAAAGUUCACGUAAUGACGUGAGAGCGGAGAAAAGAGCCCCCCAGUCCGGCAGGAACUAAAUGGGCCGUAUUUUAACAAUACAACAUACAUAUAUAAAUAUAUAUGAUCGAAAAAUGCACCGGAACACAACUUUGACAUAUCAGCAAAGUACCAAUCACGCUGAAGACUUUAGACUUUUCGCUCUUUGAUUGUUGAGACUGUAACAUUUCUUCGAUGAAAAGUAUCACGUCUACUUCCGUGGAAGGAAUUUCAAGUCGGGAACCAUCGAGACGGGAUCGAGACGGAUCGGCAAUUUCCGAACAGACACCGAUAAAACCAACACGAGAAAAAAAAAAUCAAAAGGCUUUUUCUUCAAACAGGAAAUCUGACAAGGAGUGCCUGGUUGCCACCAUGAAUUCCGUUGCUAUGCGUGACGCCAUAGCGACUGUUACUAGAAGCAUUGUAUCUGUCAUUCCUUAGCUAUUUAGGGACCAAAGGACCAAACUUUUUAAGCAGACUUGUAGCUGUAUGUAAAAUAUGGAAUUCACUUCCUACAUCUGUUCCUAAAACAGUCUGGGGGGGGCAAUUAUAUGAAAUAUGUAAAAAAUGCUUCAAAUGCUUUUAAAAAAAAAAUGGCAAGAUAAUAGUUAUUUGAUACUACGGAAGGUUCUUUGGUUACAUUAAUUCAAUUAUGAAAAAUUUCCUAUGGUUUUUCUGUAUAUUAUGUAAGGAAUAAGCGAUUGGGGGUGAUGGAAAGGUUCAAAAACUGCAAAAAAAAAAAGGAACGAAAAAUGGAAAAAAGUUUGAAAAAAAAAAACCGAUAAAAAUCCAUUAGAACGACGGUCGUAGUGCAAAGGUUUGUAAAUGCUUCUAUCCCCAUUUAAAGAAUCCUAAUAGUUGUACAGAAUUUAACAGAAUAAAAAAAAAAAGUUUAACGUACCUAUAUAAUAGAAAAAAAAAAAUUAGAGAGCAAAAAAUUGUAAAAAAAAAUGCAAAAAAAAGUAAAUAGACGUUAGCGUUCUUGCUAAGAGAAAGAUGUUGUAGAACUGUAAUUUUUGUAGAGUUUAGACUUAAGCAUAAAUUCCUACUCUUUGCCAAUUGCAUAACGUUAUCGAGGAGGAGGAGGAGGAGCCGAGACGGCAGCUUCUAACCGCGAGCAUUCCAUUUCCGACUCAAACCAUAACGAAAAAAAAAACUCGAAUUCUCGUAAAACGAUGCAACGAGCUCUGUCUUUUCAAUUGCGAGUUCCAACCUGAAGAAGGACACGCCUACCGCUUCAUCCCUAACCUGCUGUUUGCUGACCCCUCCCCCCCUCAUCCUCUGCUUUAGUAGUUUCCAUAAUUGUUCUAGACCUUCAGGGCAAACGUUAGCCUAGAACCUUAAUAUUGAAAAAAAAAUAAUAAAUAAAAAAAAAAAUCGGAAAAAAAACGAUAAAAACACGAAAAAAAAAAACAAAAAAUAUAUACAAUCUUUGAAGAAUUUCUGAAACUGUUUACAAGGAAUUUUGAAAAACAGGGGAUACGUUUAAAAAAUAAAUAAAAAAAAAACGACGAUGCUGGCUCUGUUUUUCUGUAAAUAAAUUUGCAUAUUUUGUAGGACUUUUAAUUGUAAUGAUAGAGAAAAAAAAAAACAAAAACAAGGAAAAAUACUAUUUAAAUGAAAGCACGAUAUUUAUCUUUGGUAAUUGACUUUAGAGCAGUUUAAAAAAAAGAAAAGUUAAAAAAUAAAAAAAAUGUUGCUUUAGAAAAAAAAAAA